UGGCGCUUGGAACAGCGGGUCGUCCGGGCAGAGGGAGUAAAAGAGAAGAACCGCUCUCCUUCCCAGCUGUCUGUGGUGGCCUAUGAGGUCUGUAUUUGCUUUGGAGGAGGGAAUGAAAACUUGGGAUGAAAUGAAGUGGAUCAGGAUGGUGGAACAAAAAGGAAAAAAGCAGAAAACCUUUCAAAUCUUAUUCAAGUUAUUUUUUUUUCCCAGUAAUAGAAACCAUGAAAUUCCUUAUAACAUUAUAGUAUUUUACAGUUUUAUGAAGCUUUCUAUUGUGACUUUUAUGGAAUCAAAAGAUGAUGAGAUAUUUUAGCAUUUCUAUUUUUCAAAAUUAAAUGUCUACUGAAAAUAAAGUAGCUUUAUGCAUUUA